rnacentral:ribozyme from 1 species
CCGCGAUGGAGGCAAAAAAAAAAAAAAAAAAAAAAAAAAAAAAAACAAGUAACAC